GGCCAUAGCUCAAUAGUAGAAUAUCUGAUUUGUAAACAGAAGGUUCCAGGUUCAAUCCCCAGCAUCUCCA